UAAAGGUGUUAUCACUUCAUAUGCUAUUGGAUAGAUAUGUUAGAGAAAUGCUUACAUUUAACAAUUAAGUGUGGAGAGACAAGAGUUGAGACAUUUAAAUGAAGGAUCAUUUCAAAAGGAAAAAUCUAAUUAUUGAUUUACUCUUCAAACCAAUAGCUUUCCAAUAAAUAUAAAAGUGGUACUUUUAAUCAUACAAGAGAAAGGUGGAGGUAUAAUUAGCUUUUAUUUGGCCCCUGGAAAUGGAAAAAAUGGUAAACCUAUUCAAGCCUUUCAAAAGUUUAUUGAUAAAUGGACAGUUGUCCAGAGUCUAUAAAAUGAGGAAAUGGAGGCGGAAGAUACCAAAAGGGAUAUUUCAACUCAUAAGUCGAAGACAAGCUGACAACGCCAAGUCACAAAUACCGAAAAAAUGACGGAAGGACAAACAGUUUAUAAAGCACAAUACAGAACACUAGACUGAGCGGGGCUGAUUUCAAGUGUCAGAAAAUGAAACGGUACCAGAAGUAACCUGCCAUCGACACCAAAUUUUUUCAAUCAUAACAAUAUUGAGAUACGUCUGCAAGACAAUCAUUAAUGAUUUUCCUGUUAAAAGACGGGCAUCGGAAUACACUAGUUUUCACUAGACCUUAAACUCACCCUUUUAAUUUUGACCAAUUGCCUAACAUAAAAGAAUUUUUUCAACCACUGAAGACAAAAUAUAUAACAACUUAUUCUGUAUCAAACAAUCUCGUAUUUAUUCAUAAGCAAGCUCCAAUAACUUUACCUGUUAGUUUGAUAUUAAGUCGACCAGAAACCUUUUUUGUUUCCCAUUUACCUUUUUGUCGAGCGCCAGUGACGACACGCGCGCUUGGUGUUCAAACCGAUAAUCCUGAUAUCUUUAAAGAGUUGUUUUGUUUUUGCUAUAACUAACAGAGUAUUGGAAAUAAUGUUUUACAAUAUGCCGACUGUACGGAUCGCUAUAUUUGCCACUCGUUUUCAUGGUACAAACUGGGCGAGUUAAUAUGAGUUUCUACAUUCUAAAUUUCAUUGCAGGGUGUCCUCGAGAUCUGUACACCAUCUGUCACUAACAAUUAUCAAAGAUUCUUUAAAUCUUGCCACGGAAAAAGAAUACCAAAAAUGAAUACCAAAAUAUAAAAUCCAAUUCGCUGAGUGAUGAUAUGAUAACUUUUCAUUCGAUUUUAUUUAACGCGAUUUUUAAAUUGACGAAGAAUUAAAAAUUUACAAGAUAUGUAAGUGUAUAUAUAUUUAAAUUUAGAUCCUUUGCCAAAUGUGAGAACAUAAAGCUAGCAAUAUGUAAAGAUAGAUAAAAAUCUCCUUCUGUCUAACAAAGGUCUAUUCAAGUGAAAUUAAAAAAAAACUUUAGAAAUGACACCAUAGCACCUGGUGCCAAUGGGAAAUAUGUAAUACGAUACCUUCUUCCUGGUUCCCGGAGAGUAUCAACGUUUAUAUUUAAUGCAUAUAUGGAAAAUAACGAUCAAUGAAUCAUAAUUAUAAAUUAAACAUAAUUUUACAAGUUAAUUAACUGUAAAAUUAUAUAAAGAUUAAAAGGACAACUUCUAUCUCACUUAAAGGAAAAGUCAUGAAUAUCCGAGGCGAUUAUAUAUGAAAUAUUGAUGUCCUUGGACUA